rnacentral:rRNA from 1 species
AGCGAACGCUGGCGGCAGGCCUAACACAUGCAAGUCGAACGAACCUUUCGGGGUUAGUGGCGGACGGGUGAGUAACACGUGGGAACGUGCCUUUAGGUUCGGAAUAACUCAGGGAAACUUGUGCUAAUACCGAAUGUGCCCUUCGGGGGAAAGAUUAAUCGCCUUUAGAGCGGCCCGCGUCUGAUUAGCUAGUUGGUUGAGGUAAUGGCUCACCAAGGCGACGAUCAGUAGCUGGUCUGAGAGGAUGAUCAGCCACAUUGGGACGGAGACACGGCCCAAACUCCGACGGGGGGCGGCAGUGGGGAAUUGUGCGCAAGGGGCGAAAGCCAAGCCCCGCCCUCCCGGGUGAAUGAUGAGGGUCUUAGGUUUGUAAAAUUUUUUCCCCGGGGCGGAUAGUGGCGGUCCCCGGAGAAAAACCCCCGGCUAUCUUCG